UACGUAGGGGGCAAGCGUUGUCCGGAUUUAUUGGGCGUAAAGAGCGUGUAGGCGGCCUUACAGGUCAGCUGUGAAAACUCGAGGCUCAACCUCGAGACGUCGGUUAAAACCGUAAGGCUAGAGUCCGGAAGAGGAGAGUGGAAUCCCGGUGUAGCGGUGAAAUGCGCAGAUAUCGGGAAGAACACCCGUGGCGAAGGCGGCUCUCUGGGACGGUACUGACGCUGAGACGCGAAAGCGUGGGGAGCGAACAGG
rnacentral:rRNA from 1 species